rnacentral:lncRNA from 1 species
UGAUGGAAGAUGGUAGAUGGUGGUGUGGCCUUGCGUUCUAGGAAAUGCUGCGCCUUUCGGUGAUUUGGACUGCUCCCACGAUGUGGUGCUUCUUUGCUCGAUGGCAGUAGCGCCAGGGCAACUGGUGGGGAGAGCAGCAUGAUAAUCUUGUCACAACAUUUAUUGUCUUUAGUCACUUUUAGUCACUAGAACCAAAUAGUCUUUUAGGAGCUGAUUAAAGGCUGACUAAAACUUUUAGGAGCUAGAAUUUUAGCAGCCUGAAACCAAACAGACCCUAAGUUUGGGUGGGACAGUGAGGUCGUAUAGAUUAACUUUCCUUAUUAGUAGCACGUGUGAAUAGGAUUUUGUCUUUACUUCGUGUCAUCCUACCGGAGGCAGUGAAUUGGGGUC